GCUUGGGUAGCUCAGUUGGUAGAGCACUUGCCCGCGGUGCUACGGUCGCAGGUUCGAAUCCUGCCUCGGGCA